CCGUACACUCCGAUUGCCUACAUAAUCCACCCCGUAACUGGAGUAGAUACACAGAUCUCGACACAGCCUUUUAACAAGAUUCAGCGAAUCAUAGUACACACUUCUAGUAGGAGAAACAGAUACUGAGUGAUUGGAUAAGCCUCUGGAGAAAUUGUGAGUGGAAGAACAUACUCUUUGGGGACCAGCCAGGUCAACCUGCGCUAAGAUGUGGCCCUAGGCCUCAGCAGGCGUGGGAGAGCCUACCCAUCCCCAGCGCGCAGGCGCUAUUGCACCACCUUCAGUCACAAGCAGCUGGACCAGCUGGAUGGUGUUUGGACAGAACCACUACCCCGACAUCUACUGCCGUACGGCUCACCAAACUCAGUGAAGCACUCAUACAGGUCAUUGGGCCUAAGCCUAUUUAUCAGUCCACGCGGAUUGUAUUAAAUCAAAUCAAAGUUUAUUUGUCACGUGAGCCGAAUACAACAGGUUUACAGUGAAAUGCUUACUUACAGGCUCUAACCAAUGGUGCGAAAAAAAGGUUUGUGUGUGUGUAGGCAUGGUUCCAAAAUCGGCGUGUCAAAUACCGCAGGCAGGAGUGUGGGUCUCAAAAGGUCUUGCCAAUGGGCAUGAUGCCAGGGCACGGUGAACUGUUGGGCAUGUGUGUUCAGUCCACAGGGAUAAACCUGCCAGUACUACCCUCACUCCCUGGCUCACCAUAUUCCCCAGUCCCCGUCUAUGCUGCCCCCAGGUGGUUACUCCCACUGCCACCCCCACCACACAGGGUCAACCAGCCAGUGUCACUGUCCUACAGACCCACUACAGCCACAACCC